GGACGGGAAACACUGUUGCUCUCUGGAAAGAAGCUGAGGGUGGUCAGGAAGGCCUCUUUGAAGAGGAAUCACUUGAACAAAGAAUUCAAUGAAGUGAGGAGGCCAACCAUGGGGAAUUCUACAGAAGAAUAUUCCAGACAAGCAAAAGUAUAGCAAUGAAUCAAUUUGAAAUUAUUGAGUACCC